CCGGUUGAUCCCGCCGGAGGUCACUGCUCUCAGUGUUCGACUAAGCCAUGCAAGUCAAAUGUUCUUCGUGAACAUGGCGAACUGCUCAGUAACACGUGGAUAACCUGCCCUUAGGACCGGCAUAACCCUGGGAAACUGGGGAUAAUUCCGGAUAACCCAUGAAUGCUGGAAUGCUUCGUGGGUAAAAUGGUUUCGACCGCCAAAGGAUGGAUCUGCGGCCUAUCAGGUAGUAGUGGGUGUAGUGUACCUACUAGCCUACGACGGGUACGGGUUGUGAGAGCAAGAGCCCGGAGAUGGAUUCUGAGACAUGAAUCCAGGCCCUACGGGGCGCAGCAGGCGCGAAAACUUUACAAUGCGGGAAACCGCGAUAAGGGGACACUGAGUGCCAGCAUCUUAUGUUGGCUGUCCGCAUGUUUAAAAAGCAUGUGUUAGCAAGGGCUGGGCAAGACCGGUGCCAGCCGCCGCGGUAACACCGGCAGCCCGAGUGGUGAUCACUAUUAUUGGGUCUAAAGGGUCCGUAGCCGGUUUGAUCAGUCUUUUGGGAAAUCUGACAGCUUAACUGUUAGGCUUCCAAAGGAUACUGUCAGACUUGGGACCGGGAGAGGUAAGAGGUACUACAGGGGUAGGAGUGAAAUCUUGUAAUCCCUGUGGGACCACCAGUGGCGAAGGCGUCUUACCAGAACGGGUCCGACGGUGAGGGACGAAAGCUGGGGGCACGAACCGGAUUAGAUACCCGGGUAGUCCCAGCCGUAAACGAUGCUCGCUAGGUGUCAGGAAUGGUGCGACCGUUUCUGGUGCCGUAGGGAAGCCGUGAAGCGAGCCACCUGGGAAGUACGGCCGCAAGGCUGAAACUUAAAGGAAUUGGCGGGGGAGCACUACAACGGGUGGAGCCUGCGGUUUAAUUGGAUUCAACGCCGGAAAU
rnacentral:rRNA from 1 species